AUGGUUGAAGAAACAAAGAAGAAGUAUAGUAGAGAUUACUUGACAUGGACAGAUGAGAUGGACAAGGUAUUGUUGGAUGUCUUUGUUGAACAUCACAACAGAGGUGAUCAGGCCCAAAAUGGAUGGAAACCACAUGUGUGCACUGCUGCUAUAAAGGCAAUACGCAAUAAGUGUGUACUGCACGCCACAAAGGACAUAUGUUCAAGGAUGAAGACUUUUGACAAGCACUAUGGUACGAUUAGCAAGAUUCUUUCUCGGAGUGGAUUUGGUUGGGACUGGGUCAAUAACAAGCUACUCAUGGAUAGUGAUGAUGUGUGAAACAAAUAUGUCGAGAAUUGGGAGGCAAUCUGCACAAUAUACUCCAAAGAUAAUGCAACCGGUGACGGUGCAAUGACGGGUACUGAAAGUGAAGCGCAACCAAUAGAACUAGACGAAGUAGUCAUCGAAGCCUCUCCAGAAUUGCCACCAAAAAGGCAGCGAACAGGUGAUGCUAUCUUGUGCAUGCUUGGAGACAUGAAGGGUUCUUUCCAAGAUGCUUUGAAAUCACUUGAGCCACUAGAACUGCCCAAGGUUACUCCUCCUCUUGAAAUCCUUGUUGCCCCUUAAAAGAUCCCAGACAUGAAUCGUUCGGACAUGUUGCGAGCAUAUGGUAAACUCACCCUUAGUGAACGCUUAUUCCAAGCGCUUAUGGAGUUACCUAUGGAGUUUAGGAAGGAAUGGUUGUCGAUGCUCAACGAGAAGAACAACAUUUGA
rnacentral:rRNA from 1 species